GCACGACGACGUACGCGAUGGCCGCGAGGUGGCCGACGCGGAACCAGAAGUUGCGCGUCCACUCCCACCGCGCCGCCAACCCGAUCAGGACGGCGACGAGCCCGAACAGCACGAACGCGAUGAACGCCGUGUGCAGAAUGAGGACAAACUCGGCGGCGGUGCGGUAACCGUUCACGGCGACAGUCUAACACGGGGAGCGACAGCGCGAAACGAAAAAGUUAGCGUCAAUUAACAAUAAAGGAGGCGUGGUCGAGCGGCGUCCUCCCUCUCCCCGGCGUACCGGUGAGAGGGAGGCGCUUUUCACGCGCUCUCGUCCCACUACACUUCUCCGCGAUGUCGUUGACGUGGGACUUCUCGACGCUCGCCGACCACAUUGGCGCGGU
rnacentral:misc_RNA from 1 species